rnacentral:lncRNA from 1 species
AUAGGAAUGCCUAGAUACUGCAAGGUCCCACUGUGCUCCCUGAUUCUUAGAAUAUCCCUGAUCAUAUAAGCCACGGCUGGGCCGACAUCCUCGAACUAAACACAACCAUCGAUUUGAGGAGGUUGACUUCUGGCCCGAUGCAGUACAGUACACCUCCAAAAUCCUUCAGAAGCCAAUCAUGUUUCGAGUAGAAGUCCGACCAACUAGCAAACAAUCAUCUGCAAAGAGGUACGA